ACAUGUAACGUGUGUGCCGCGCUAGGUUAUUAUAUACUUUUUCCAAAAUUUAUGUAGACUGCUAUUUACGAAGGAUGGUUCUGAAAAGUUUGCUAUUUAAAUUAUACAAAAGAAUAAUUUUAGCACGGAGAAUGGGAAUGUUUUUAAUAAUCCAGCAAAUGUCAAAAACAAAGUUGAAAUAUUAAGGAAGCUGAGUUCAUGAGAAACAUGUAAGUUCAGGCGAGCAUUGCGGUGUCUCUUAUUGUCGCUGUAGUUUGAAUGUCAAUGGAGUUUUGUAUUUUUUUAGUUUUGUAUUUUUGUUUUAGCCCUGUAUGAUUUAUUUGGUUGACAUCUAUGACAUGACUGAAGCCAUGAACAUCAUUUUUGAAUUAAUGGAAGGUGGUGAGCUCUUUGAUGAUAGAAUAAAAAGCAGAGGUAAACUGUCUGAACCAUGUGCAAAAAUGAUACUGACUCCCCAAAAAAGCGGUACUCUAAAAAUGUGGAAAAAAUUUUGCAUAUUUCAAAUGAUUAUAACUUCCGCAAUGCUCGUCUGAACGUACAUGCCUCAGUUUCUUUAAUAUUUCAACUUUGUUCUUGACAUUCGCUGGAUUAUUGAAAACAUUCCCCUUCUCUGUGCAAGUAAAAUACAUAAACUGUAAUAUAAAAGAAUAAUUUUUAAGGUUAAGGCUAUCUUGGAAUUAUUUUCGAUGAUGACAUGUUUUCCGUGACCGACCAAGUUCUCAUCAACAAAUCUUCCAUCAAUAAUCUUCCAUCAUAACUUCUUCAAUAAUCAAAUAAUUAUUAUAGUAAUAAAGGAUUAUUUACCUUUGAAAAAUCUCGUUAAAUGUCACUAUCUUCUAAUAAACUUUUUAAACACA